ensembl:lncRNA
GUAAAAGCAAGUACUGUAGUUUGCAGAAGAUGUACACUUUUAAGACACACAUACAGUCCAGAUUCAUGGUUUAAUGAACUGCUAAAAUCAUUGCUCCUGUGAUGACCUUAAAAUACAGGCAAGCAGAAGCUUUGUGAUUGUUUACACGUCUAUAAACAAUGCAUUCAAUCAACAGCAAUUCAAUCAUGCUCUGUGUUGCUCAGUAUCCCUCUUGCAUUAUUUUGAUGUGGAGCAAACUUAAUUGUUUUAACACUGAUGAAUUUGUGUAUGUGUGUGGUCAGUAUUUUCAUCUUUCACACUGUGUUGGCCAAAGAUUGUAUUGCCUUCCCUGUUUGUGUGCACCUGUUUGAGCUUGUGCAAAGUGACCCAAUCGUUCUAACCAUAUCAACACGCAUUGAUCAUGUCAAACAGGAGGAGAAAUAUACUUCUUGUUGUGAAAUCACACCAUAUAAAACUGUAUGUGAUGAUAGUGUGUGUUCUGUUGUAAGACUGCAUUCUAUAGCAGUGCCAGUCAUCUCCAGUCACAUGACCUGCCUGCCAAUCGUCUCCUAGCAACCUCCUCUCCUCCCCCUCCCUGCCAUCCCCUCUCCAUCCGUCCCUUGCUGGAUUCUGUGACUCCUGAGGCCGUGUGUAUAUGCAUGGGAGUGUACAGGAUCGAGUGAGCCAUCCAGGAUCAUGGUUAUUUAUAGAUCUUAUGGAUAAGUGGUGGAGGAACUUCGAGUUUGCUAAAACCAUCUCUCACGACAUCACCCCAGCCAUCCCCCCAUUAUACAUUUAUCUAGUCUUUUCUUUGCGCACACACAAAACAUGCACACACCCUCCCUCUGCAAGCUUCAUUCAUAACGCUGAAGAUGGGAGUGAGAGGAUAAAUGAAGGAGAGGUGCCAAGAACACAAGAUCCUAUAAAAAAUAGGCUUCUCACCCAUUCUUGGGUUGCAACCGACCAGCUGAGAUGCAACUGCUCCAGAGAGUUUCACCAGUCUGAUGAACCCUAGAGUUGAGUAUGCUUCACUUUUACUACAUUUAAGACAUUUUGGGUACUUAAAAAAGCCUGAGCCAUGUUUCUAAAGUUUAUCAAAUGGCAUCGAUACAUUAUUACACUGUUUAAAUAUGUAAUUAAAUUAAGAAUGCAAGAAGCUGCAUAUAAAACAGCAGGUGGAAUCCAUCCCUACCUUAACCCUUGUAUACAAAAUGGAGACUUCACCACUGUACCCAUUACAUAUAUUAAGUUUUGCAAGCUAGAGGUUUUGACAGUCUUUAAUGCAUAUGUGGACAGGGGCAAAAAAAAAAAAAAGAUGUACAGUAGCAAUGACUCAUGUUAAUUACCUUUUUGAGCGUGAACACUGUGGUUCAUGAUAGUUCAAUGUGUUCCAAACACUAUAAGUGAACACUCUUCUCUUAUGAAGUACAUGACCAUUACACUUCAUCUCAGGGAUCGAUAAAGCAUUUAUCUAUUGCAUAAAUAUAUAAUGUACCACUUGCUGCAGGGCUUUACAGAACUGCAAAACAAACUUAGGAAAAGGAGAAUAAUAUGAGUCAAUAGUAGAAAGAGUGCACUUCGGUCAAAGGAAUAUGAACAGAGGCUGUUUUUAACCACACUUUCAAUGCUAAACCGAUUCAUUAGCCUCAUUACACGUCUACUGCAAUCGAAAUUCAUAAGUAUUUGCUUAAAUCAGAAGUUUUGGCUUGGAGAGGUUAAUUAAACAUGUCCUUCAGUCCCCCGACUGCAUCUCCACAAAUCAUUUUCUCAAUAUCUUACCAGCUUGAUUAGGGGGCAAGGUUACUUAGCAGCUGUUGCUAUGGGGACCUGAUGGAGGAUGAAAUGAAAAAGAGGUUAAGUAAAAUGUGGUUUGGAUACUGUCAGCUAAUUUGUUCUCUGAAAAAGAAGAACUUUGUUUACCGGAUUCAAUGGGACUUAAACAGAUAAAUGGCAAACUCAGGUUGCUAAAAACAACUGUAAAAGAUUUGUGGCCUUGAGAACACAGUUGGAAAGGAAUGUUAAAGAUCGCACGGUAUCUUAUGGUUAAUCUUAUGUAAAUACAGAUUGACCACCACCUGCACUAUUAUAUUUUCUGAAGAAAAUGUAAAAAUCCUUUUGUUCAUCUAAGAAUUAUAUAAAAGGUAAGUACUGAUAAGUUUAACCAAAUGCAUACAAUUAUUUACUUUACACCACAUUUUUAGGUUUACAUGGAAAAUUAUUUCCACCACUGAAUCAAAAAAAAAAAAAAAAAUUAAUUGCAACUUUUUAUCUCACAAUUCUGUCAUUUUAUCUUGCAAUUUCAAGUUUACAUCUCAGAACUGUGUGAUAUAAAAAUUCACAGUUACCUUUCUUUUUAGUCAGUGGUGGAAACGGUCUUCCAUAGUUUACAGCCUUGUGUAAAUUAUCGUUUAAAUAAAUAUAAAUAUUAAUAAAACUUUUUUGAUAUC